CUGUGUUACACUGACGACAGCACGAGACGAUCGUCUCGAUAGUGCCGCACCGCCAGGUACACAGCGCGAGAGAGAAAGGGGUAGGAGCUUCAAGGCGAUCAUCGCACGAUCUCGCGCGAGAAACAAACACACCGACACACUUAUCAUAGAACACUGAGCAGCAACCGAGCAGCGACAUGGAAGAUAUAAAGGGUUUUUUUUCCCUGAUCGGUCGAAAGCCCUGGAGGCAGGGUAGUAAUAUAAUACCUUGUGUUUUUAAGGGUAGGUUUUUUCCCGAUUUUUAUGGGCCAUUUUUUCGCGAAGGUAAACCCGCUGGGGUAAGGGUAAAAAGGAUGAUUCUAACACAUUUGUAACGGUUCGUUUUUUUUUUCAAUGCCUGCUAGACCGCCUCGGGGAUCGCAUGUAAUCGUGGUGGUCAUAUCGCGUGGUGGUUGUAUUAUGUGUACUAUCAAUGACAAGAAAUUGUGUUAAAUGAGGAAACGCUGCAUGGAAUGUGUUCUUGUAAUGUUAAUCAUGAAGUUGAAAGCAACAGAACAUUCAAACUACUUCUACUUCAAUUCUACUUCAAAAGAUAAUGUAAAAUAUCAAUUGAGAGCAUGCAUUGUUAUAUCAGAGUACCUUGAUCACUCGUCUACCCAAAGCGUAUUCUGUUGUCUGUUUAAAACUGUUGUAAAAAUCACAAACGAUUAUCUCAAACAUGGCAACAAGCAUAUUAUUUUUAAUUUUUUUUUAUAAAAAGGACGGAAGUUGAUAUUUAUAUGUUUAAAAUCAUCUUAAGAUCCUGAUCCUUUGCCCAUGUUUAGUUCUACGGUCGUCAUAUUCCUGCUUAUUGGAAUUAUGAAUCUUAUUAUUUAGUAAAAGAAAACAAUUUGAAGAACAACUUUCUCUUUCCAUCUCUGUUCUCUUUGUGAAUGGUUAGUGUAAAAGUUUAUGAAACAGACUUGUUCUUGAUCAACGCAGCAAUUAU